rnacentral:rRNA from 1 species
UACGAAGGACCCGAGCGUUAUCCGGAUUUAUUGGGUUUAAAGGGUGCGUAGGCGGAUUAGUAAGUCAGUGGUGAAAGCCCAUCGCUUAACGGUGGAAUUGCCAUUGAUACUGCUAGUCUUGAGUAUGGUUGAGGUGGGCGGAAUGUGUCAUGUAGCGGUGAAAUGCUUAGAUAUGACACAGAACACCGAUUGCGAAGGCAGCUCACUAAACUGUAACUGACGCUGAGGCACGAAAGCGUGGGGAGCAAACAGG